UCGCAUGAACAACGCUUAAAAGAUGGCUUCUCGCUAUCACUUCUGGAUGGACCUGCGGUGCAUUAGCUUGUUGGUGGGGUAACGGCCUACCAAGGCGAUGAUGCAUAGCCGAGUUGAGAGACUGAUCGGCCACAAUGGGACUGAGACACGGCCCAUACUCCUACGGGAGGCAGCAGUAGGGAAUCUUCCACAAUGGGCGCAAGCCUGAUGGAGCAACACCGCGUGAGUGAAGAAGGGUUUCGGCUCGUAAAGCUCUGUUGUUAAAGAAGAACACGUAUGAGAGUAACUGUUCAUACGUUGACGGUAUUUAACCAGAAAGUCACGGCUAACUACGUGCCAGCAGCCGCGGUAAUACGUAGGUGGCAAGCGUUAUCCGGAUUUAUUGGGCGUAAAGAGAGUGCAGGCGGUUUUCUAAGUCUGAUGUGAAAGCCUUCGGCUUAACCGGAGAAGUGCAUCGGAAACUGGAUAACUUGAGUGCAGAAGAGGGUAGUGGAACUCCAUGUGUAGCGGUGGAAUGCGUAGAUAUAUGGAAGAACACCAGUGGCGAAGGCGGCUACCUGGUCUGCAACUGACGCUGAGACUCGAAAGCAUGGGUAGCGAACAGGAUUAGAUACCCUGGUAGUCCAUGCCGUAAACGAUGAGUGCUAGGUGUUGGAGGGUUUCCGCCCUUCAGUGCCGGAGCUAACGCAUUAAGCACUCCGCCUGGGGAGUACGACCGCAAGGUUGAAACUCAAAGGAAUUGACGGGGGCCCGCACAAGCGGUGGAGCAUGUGGUUUAAUUCGAAGCUACGCGAAGAACCUUACCAGGUCUUGACAUCUUGCGCCAACCCUAGAGAUAGGGCGUUUCCUUCGGGAACGCAAUGACAGGUGGUGCAUGGUCGUCGUCAGCUCGUGUCGUGAGAUGUUGGGUUAAGUCCCGCAACGAGCGCAACCCUUGUUACUAGUUGCCAGCAUUAAGUUGGGCACUCUAGUGAGACUGCCGGUGACAAACCGGAGGAAGGUGGGGACGACGUCAGAUCAUCAUGCCCCUUAUGACCUGGGCUACACACGUGCUACAAUGGACGGUACAACGAGUCGCGAACUCGCGAGGGCAAGCAAAUCUCUUAAAACCGUUCUCAGUUCGGACUGCAGGCUGCAACUCGCCUGCACGAAGUCGGAAUCGCUAGUAAUCGCGGAUCAGCAUGCCGCGGUGAAUACGUUCCCGGGCCUUGUACACACCGCCCGUCACACCAUGAGAGUUUGUAACACCCAAAGUCGGUGGGGUAACCUUUUAGGAGCCAGCCGCCUAAGGUGGGACAGAUGAUUAGGGUGAAGUCGUAACAAGGUAGCCGUAGGAGAACCUGCGGCUGGAUCACCUCCUUUCUAAGGAAUUAAUCGGAA
rnacentral:rRNA from 2 species